UAACACGUAAGCAACCUGCCUUUAAGACGAGAAUAACAAUUGGAAACAGUUGCUAAGGCUGGAUAGGAAAUAAAAAGGCAUCUUUUUAUUUUUAAAAGACCUUUUUCGGAAGGUAUGCUUAAAGAGGGGCUUGCGUCACAUUAGUUAGUUGGUAGGGUAAAGGCCUACCAAGACGAUGAUGUGUAGCUGGACUGAGAGGUUGAACAGCCACAUUGGGACUGAGACACGGCCCAAACUCCUACGGGAGGCAGCAGUAGGGAAUUUUCGGCAAUGGAGGAAACUCUGACCGAGCAACGCCGCGUGAACGACGAAGUACUUCGGUAUGUAAAGUUCUUUUAUUGAAGAAGAAACAAUAGUGGAAAAACUAUCUUGACGUUAUUCAAUGAAUAAGCCCCGGCUAACUAUGUGCCAGCAGCCGCGGUAAUACAUAGGGGGCGAGCGUUAUCCGGAAUUAUUGGGCGUAAAGGGUGCGUAGGCGGUUUAAUAAGUCUCUAGUUUAAUUUCAACGCUUAACGUUGUCCUGCUAGAGAAACUGUUUAACUAGAGUGAGAUAGAGGUAAGCGGAAUUCCAUGUGUAGCGGUAAAAUGUGUAAAUAUAUGGAGGAACACCAGAGGCGUAGGCGGCUUACUGGGUCUUUACUGACGCUGAUGCACGAAAGCGUGGGGAGCAAACAGGAUUAGAUACCCUGGUAGUCCACGCCGUAAACUAUGAGUACUAAGUGUCGGGGUUAAACUCGGUACUGAAGUUAACACAUUAAGUACUCCGCCUGAGUAGUACGUACGCAAGUAUGAAACUUAAAGGAAUUGACGGGAUCCCGCACAAGCGGUGGAUCAUGUUGUUUAAUUCGAAGAUACACGAAAAACCUUACCAGGUCUUGACAUACUCUGCAAAGCUAUAGAAAUAUAGUGGAGGUUAUCAGGGAUACAGGUGGUGCAUGGUUGUCGUCAGCUCGUGUCGUGAGAUGUUAGGUUAAGUUCUAAAACGAGCGCAACCCCUGUCGUUAAUUGCCAGCACGUUAUGGUGGGGACUUUAGCGAGACUGCCAAUGAAAAAUUGGAGGAAGGUGGGGAUUACGUCAAAUCAUCAUGCCCCUUAUGAUCUGGGCUACAAACGUGAUACAAUGGCUAUUACAAAGAGUAGCUGAAACGCGAGUUUUUGGCAAAUCUCAAAAAAAUAGUCUCAGUUCGGAUUGAAGUCUGCAACUCGACUUCAUGAAGUUGGAAUCGCUAGUAAUCGCGAAUCAGCAUGUCGCGGUGAAUACGUUCUCGGGGUUUGUACACACCGCCCGUCAAACCACGAAAGUGGACAAUACCCGAAAGCGACAGCCUAACUGCGUAAGCAGAGGGAAUCGUCUAAGGUAGGGUCGAUGAUUGGGGUUAAGUCGUAACAAGGUAUCCCUACCGGAAGGUGGGGAUGGAUCACCUCCUUUCU
rnacentral:rRNA from 1 species